UGCUUCGUAGUUCAGCGGAAGAACAUCACGGUGAUAACGAGAAGGUCGGUAGUUCGAAUCUACCCGAAGCCACAA
rnacentral:tRNA from 1 species